UGCAGUCGAACGAGAAAGUCACUUCGGUGACGAUUAAAGUGGCGCACGGGUGAGUAACGCUGUAGAUAAUCUGCCCUUCAGUCUGGGACAACUUUUCGAAAGGAGAGCUAAUACCGGAUGAUAACGAAUCACACAUGUGUAACGUUUAAAAGCUCCGGUGCUGAGGGAGGAGUCUGCGUCCCAUUAGCUAGUUGGUAGGGUAAUGGCUUACCAAGGCAACGAUGGGUAGCGGGUUUGAGAGGACGAUCCGCCACACUGGAACUGAGACACGGUCCAGACUCCUACGGGAGGCAGCAGUAGGGAAUAUUGCGCAAUGGAGGAAACUCUGACGCAGCCAUGCCGCGUGCAGGAAUAAGGCCCUAUGGGUUGUAAACUGCUUUUAUACGGGAAGAACUAUAUCUACGUGUAGAUAUUUGACGGUACCGUACGAAUAAGGAUCGGCUAACUCCGUGCCAGCAGCCGCGGUAAUACGGAGGAUCCAAGCGUUAUCCGGAUUUAUUGGGUUUAAAGGGUCCGCAGGCGGAAUAUUAAGUCAGUGGUGAAAUCCUACAGCUUAACUGUAGAACUGCCAUUGAUACUGGUUUUCUUGAGUGCACCUGAAGUGGGCGGAAUGUGUCAUGUAGCGGUGAAAUGCUUAGAUAUGACACAGAACACCAAUUGCGAAGGCAGCUCACUAAAGUGUAACUGACGCUGAGGGACGAAAGCGUGGGUAGCGAACAGGAUUAGAUACCCUGGUAGUCCACGCCGUAAACGAUGAUCACUA
rnacentral:rRNA from 1 species